UUAAUAUCCAAUAUAUUCCAUAGAGGAUAUCUUAAAAAUAUUAUUAAAAAACACAAUGAAAAAUUAUAUAUAAACACAAUUUUGUAUUUUCGAUCAAUAACAACAAAAAUUCAAUAAUGUUCCAUCAAUAGAACACAAUACAAGUAAACUUAAAAAAUAUUGUGUUUUAAAACAAGUAAAAAAAAAAAUUCAAUCGGUGAAAUAAAACUUAUGAUAAACACGUCAUAAUGUAGCAGCACCUCCGGUGUAUGCUGACUCGCUCCAUUUUUUCCUAUGUACAAUCUUCUUAAUUCUUUUAUAAUAAUGGCCUAAUAAAAUUUAUAAAUAAAAUUUCUAUCGCAAAUUUUGGUCACUUGGAAAUAUUUACAAAUUAGCAAUUCAUAUUCAAGGAUAGGUCGGCCUAGCAGAUAGAAACAAUUUAUUUUUCAGAAGUAAUUUACGAUAAGAUUUAGUAGAACAUAAAGAAAUAAUCAAA